rnacentral:rRNA from 1 species
GUGUCAGCAGCCGCGGUAAAACGUAGGACGCAAGCGUUAUCCGGAUUUACUGGGCGUAAAGCGCGUGCAGGCGGUUUGUCAAGUCGUGCGUGAAAGCUCCCUGGCUCAACCGGGAGAGGUCGUACGAAACUAGCAGACUUGAGGGCAGCAGAGGGGUGUGGAAUUCCGGGUGUAGUGGUGAAAUGCGUAGAUAUCCGGAGGAACACCAGUGGCGAAGGCGACACCCUGGGCUGUACCUGACGCUAAGACGCGAAAGCAUGGGUAGCGAACGGGAUUAGAUACCCGUGUAGUCC